UGUUCUACCUUGUUUAACAUUAUAGAUUUGAAAUCCGUUUGGUUGCCAAGAAAAUUGAUAGUGGAAGUCUCCAAAAUCAGUGGAAUGUCAGGUGGAAGGGCUUGAAGAGUUCCUGAAUCAAUCCAAAUCGGGUCCCCAGGAAUCUCCGCAGAAAUCAUGGACGGAUCACUAAGUAUCCCUCGUACUGCCCGCAGAACCUCGACUCGUAGAAAGCCCAUCCAAGUAGAACCAGAAAGCUCACAGCCAUUGACUCAAAGUCGCCCCGCGAAUCCGCGAUGGACCAAGAAAAGACUGAGGUGCCUAAAACUCCUGCCGCACCAAACACCUGGAGAA